AGUGAACGCUGGCGGUAGGCCUAACACAUGCAAGUCGAACGGCAGCACAGUAAGAGCUUGCUCUUACGGGUGGCGAGUGGCGGACGGGUGAGGAAUACAUCGGAAUCUACUUUUUCGUGGGGGAUAACGUAGGGAAACUUACGCUAAUACCGCAUACGACCUACGGGUGAAAGCAGGGGAUCUUCGGACCUUGCGCGAUUGAAUGAGCCGAUGUCGGAUUAGCUAGUUGGCGGGGUAAAGGCCCACCAAGGCGACGAUCCGUAGCUGGUCUGAGAGGAUGAUCAGCCACACUGGAACUGAGACACGGUCCAGACUCCUACGGGAGGCAGCAGUGGGGAAUAUUGGACAAUGGGCGCAAGCCUGGUCCAGCCAUACCGCGUGGGUGAAGAAGGCCUUCGGGUUGUAAAGCCAUUUUGUUGGGAAAGAAAAGCAGCAGGUUAAUACCCCGCUGUUCUGACGGUACCCAAAGAAUAAGCACCGGCUAACUUCGUG
rnacentral:rRNA from 1 species